rnacentral:rRNA from 1 species
CGGACGGGUGAGUAACACGUGAGCAACCUGCCUUUCAGUGGGGGACAACAGUUGGAAACGACUGCUAAUACCGCAUAACGUGCCGGAAGGGCAUCCUUUUGGUACCAAAGAUUUAUCGCUGAAAGAUGGGCUCGCGUCUGAUUAGAUAGUUGGUGAGGUAACGGCCCACCAAAGCAACGAUCAGUAGCUGGUCUGAGAGGACGACCAGCCACACUGGGACUGAGACACGGCCCAGACUCCUACGGGAGGCAGCAG